GCAGCCUGAGAUCCGUAAUAUGGCGGGGAGGAGGAGGAGAAGGCGGCGGCGGACCGAGCUGCGCUCUGUCAGUACCAUUUGAGCCAUUCCCUUCCUGACAAGGCCCGUGGCGAGGGGAGAGGAGCUGAAGGGGCCGUGGGGGAUCAGUUUCAUUUGAAUCCUACGGGGAACCAAGCACUGUCGCUGCCCUCCAGGAAUUCAUACUCUACUGCUAAAAAUCGUCAUCAUCAUUAUCCUCUUAAUAAGAAAAGCAGUCCCCAUUAUUUGUUGCUUUCUGCGUGUUCUGCACUAUGCUAAUUGCCCUACAUGCAUUAGUUCAUUGAAUUCUUACAAGAUUCCUUUGAGACGGAUACCGUGAUUAUCCCUCAGAGGAGGAAACAGGUGUGGGGAUGGUAACUGGCUUGCCAAGAACUUGCAGCUAGUAUGCAUCUGAAUAAGAAAUCUUCCCCUUUACCGCUUUUACAAGAAGUUUGCGUCUUUGGCGGAACUGAUGGGCAAAGAAACACUAGGUUGUGCAAAAAAAGCAGGAUCUGUUCUGUGUUACUUUUACUACUCCUUUCAGUGACAUGUCUGGCAGAGCACGGUGCCUGCUGUGUGCUGAUACUGUUCUGUGUAAUGGGGAUUCAGUGAACAAGACUGAAAAGGUACCUGUACUUAUGGCGCUU
rnacentral:sRNA from 1 species